rnacentral:tRNA from 1 species
GGGCCCUUAGCUCAGUCGGUUAGAGCAGGAGACUCAUAAUCUCUUGGUGCCAGGUUCGAACCCUGGAGGGCCUA